UACAGAGGGGGCAAGCGUUAUUCGGAAUUAUUGGGCGUAAAGGGCGCGUAGGCGGCCUGACAAGUGGAAGGUGAAAUCCCUCGGCUUAACCGAGGAACUGCCCUCCAAACUGUUUGGCUUGAGACCGGGAGAGGUGAGUGGAAUUCCCAGUGUAGCGGUGAAAUGCGUAGAUAUUGGGAGGAACACCGGUGGCGAAGGCGGCAUCCUGGACCGGCAUUGACGCUGAGGAGCGAAAGCCAGGGGAGCAAACGGG
rnacentral:rRNA from 1 species